rnacentral:rRNA from 1 species
UACGUAGGUGACAAGCGUUGUCCGGAUUUACUGGGCGUAAAGAGCGCGCAGGCGGUCGAUCAAGUCGAGUGUGAAAGCCCCCCGGCUCAACUGGGGAGGGUCAUCGAUACUGAUCGACUCGAAGGCAGGAGAGGGUAGUGGAAUUCCCGGUGUAGUGGUGAAAUGCGUAGAUAUCGGGAGGAACACCAGUGGCGAAGGCGAACUUCCUGGCCCUGUUCUUGACGCUGAGGCGCGAAAGCUAGGGUAGCAAACGGGG